CGUAUAAGGUUUCGUAAACUUCACAAUAAUUAAAGUGCCAACAAUAAAGUAAAAAGUUACGCGCAUUAAAGUUUAGCACGUGUAUUAUACUUAAAAAGAUAUAUAAGUUUUUUAGUAACUACCAGGCCAGCUGUUUAACAGAAAGUAAAUCAAUUCAGUGAAAGUGUAAAAGAAUAUUGUUUCGUCGCUUUCAAAACGAUAAAAUGUAAAAAUAACUUUGAAAUGUCCAAAGAAGGUUAUAACACCGAAAAGAAAGAGAGUGAUAGUAAAGUGGUUUUAGAACGUUUACAGUCAUAUUUAAAAGAUAAAAGAAGUAGUGAAUCAUCUGAAACUAGUGUAAUAUAUAAUAAGCCGAGCUCAGGUUUAGUAUAUGAGCCAAAUCCCAUAAUAGUUCCGAGCAUCGAAGAAACUGGUAAUAGUAACGUACUUCGAGAAGUAUUAAAUCAUAAGAAAUCAGAGUUGCUAAGGCAGCCUGAGGUAAUCGCAUUUUUGAAAACUUUAUCAACAGAUUUAAAGAAGUAAUUAGCGAUGGCAGUGGCUGCUCGAAAAAGCGCUGAGUUUCUUAUGCGAAAAACCUUAGAUAGACAGGCUGCGCUUAGUCGGAUGAAAGUUAGUUUUAAAAAGAAACAAAUAACUCAAGUAAUAGUUGACUAUGUUCAGGAGGGAAAAUAUGGACCUUACAAUGAGUUAAUAAAUAUCCUCAAAGAUAAGCAAAUAUCUGAUGGAAACUUCCUAGUGUUGUUUGAAGAUUGUUUAUCAUGUACAGUUUAUUUUGAAAAAGAUUGGAAGAUAUUUAUUGAUCUACUAUGUGAUAUUCAAUGGGUAAACAGAGACCCAGAACUAGUAAAAGUGUAUAGUAAAUUUAUAGUUAGUUUAGUAACAGCACACACUUACCAUUGUCCAAAAGUUAUGACAGCAUUAGUCAAUUUAUUCAAAGUUGAAGGUGAGAAUUGGGAUGACUAUCCACCUGAAGAGCUGAAUAAACAAUGGGCUAAUAUACAUUCACUAAUAGCACAAAUAGUUGCUUUUAUGCCAAUGACAAGCAAUAUCUUAAUGCAAACAGUAAUGGAUAAUUUCCCAUACUUUAAAGCUGGUUGCUACCUUAACAGAGCCUAUGUACACAAUUUAAUAUGGAUAAGUAGAUAUAUUCCUUCGCUGAAGGAACAAAUUAUGUCUGCUAUAGUACACAGAAUGAUAGAAAUGGAUGUAAAUGUGGUAGACCAAAAGACUAAGCAAGAAACAAUCUUUAAUAUGGAGUUAGAAAAAGACGAGACUAGUGUUACACUAGACUACUGUAUGUUGGAAAUGCUAAAGUGGCUAGAAGAUGAAAGAGAACCUGUAUUAUUAAUACUGUGUAAUGUAUUUGAAAGGGUUAUGCUUCCUACUUAUGGCAUUCGAUAUGUCCAAUUCCUAUUAUUAUAUGCUAUAUCAAUAAAUCAGCAAUGUGCUGAUAGGAUAUUUAAUAAUUUGUGGACAAUAACAGCUGGUCUCCACGGAUUAGGGCCUGGUGCCCUAACCACACGUAAGACUGCUGCCAGUCACUUAGCAGGUCUUCUUGCAAGAUGUGUAAGAAUUCCUAAUAGUAGACUAAUACACUAUUUGAAGACUAUGGCAGAUUGGUGUCACGGGUACAUAACAGCAACGCAAGAGACCUCUGCUCACGAUAAUACUAAAGUACAUGGUGCCUUCCAUGCAGUCUGCCACGCGAUAUUUUAUCUUGUUGCCUUCAAGAACCAUCACCUAUUUAUGAGUAAAGAAUGUUUAAAUUUCGUUGAGUCCCUGAACCUUCCCCGUCUAGUGACCUGUCCUUUAAACCCUCUGCGAACAUGUCCUCCUCAAGUGACCCAGGCUUUUGCAUCAGUCACCAGAUCUCACCAGGUGGUCUACUGCCAGUCUAUAAUUGAGAAGAACCUUCGGUUCUCCUUACAUAAUGCUGUGCAAUAUGAUGAGUGGUUCCCAUAUGAUCCAUACACUUUACCAAUAUCAGGUAAAAAGAUAUGGCCCCUAUGCGUUGAAUAUAAGGACUGGUUGAAAAGAGGUGACGACGAAACGCAGUACAAGAGUUUAAAACGCAAAUUUGACGGCGAAGACGACGAUUUCCUACAAAUAUCUCCCAGCCCCCGGCAAAGACUGCCUAGCUCCUUAACAAAUUGUAUAUCACCAGGGUUCAAAAGCAGUGACACUAGUAUGAUGUAAAUAAUUUUUAACUAGAUCUCUAUGCUAAGCUCGUAAAUCUAUCAUAAAAUAAUGUAAUAUGUAAACUUUAUACAUGUAUUAUCAAACUAGCUUCUCGCAUUGGGGGUGUCCUUGGGCAGCAGUAACAAUAACCAUUAGGUUAGCCUGCCUGCCUUUAAAAAUAUACAUAAAAACUAAUACAAGUUUUCAAUGUGAAGGGACAAAGGGCUUUAAAUCUUAUUUAUUUGUAUUAAAAGGUUCUUUCCGAGAUUUCCUUUUAAAGUUAUAUUAUCAUUUAUAGGAUGUUUGAAGUGCAUUCAAUAAAUUUUUAUAGUAAUAAAAUAUUAAU